UACGAAGGGGGCUAGCGUUGCUCGGAUUGACUGGGCGUAAAGGGCGCGUAGGCGGUUCGUACAGUCAGACGUGAAAUUCCUGGGCUCAACCUGGGGGCUGCGUUUGAUACGUGCGGACUUGAGUGCGGAAGAGGGUCGUGGAAUUCCCAGUGUAGAGGUGAAAUUCGUAGAUAUUGGGAAGAACACCGGUGGCGAAGGCGGCGACCUAGUCCGAUACUGACGCUGAGGCGCGAAAGCGUGGGGAGCAAACAGG
rnacentral:rRNA from 1 species